rnacentral:rRNA from 1 species
CAGGAUUAGAUACCCUGGUAGUCCACGCCGUAAACGAUGUCGACUUGGAGGUUGUGCCCUUGAGGCGUGGCUUCCGGAGCUAACGCGUUAAGUCGACCGCCUGGGGAGUACGGCCGCAAGGUUAAAACUCAAAUGAAUUGACGGGGGCCCGCACAAGCGGUGGAGCAUGUGGUUUAAUUCGAUGCAACGCGAAGAACCUUACCUGGUCUUGACAUCCACGGAAGUUUUCAGAGAUGAGAAUGUGCCUUCGGGAACCGUGAGACAGGUGCUGCAUGGCUGUCGUCAGCUCGUGUUGUGAAAUGUUGGGUUAAGUCCCGCAACGAGCGCAACCCUUAUCCUUUGUUGCCAGCGGUCCGGCCGGGAACUCAAAGGAGACUGCCAGUGAUAAACUGGAGGAAGGUGGGGAUGACGUCAAGUCAUCAUGGCCCUUACGACCAGGGCUACACACGUGCUACAAUGGCGCAUACAAAGAGAAGCGACCUCGCGAGAGCAAGCGGACCUCAUAAAGUGCGUCGUAGUCCGGAUUGGAGUCUGCAACUCGACUCCAUGAAGUCGGAAUCGCUAGUAAUCGUGGAUCAGAAUGCCACGGUGAAUACGUUCCCGGGCCUUGUACACACCGCCCGUCACACCAUGGGAGUGGGUUGCAAAAGAAGUAGGUAGCUUAACCUUCGGGAGGGCGCUUACCACUUUGUGAUUCAUGACUGGGGUGAAGUCGUAACAAGGUAACCGUAGGGGAACCUGCGGUUGGAUCACCUCCUU